UAACACGUGGGUGAUCUGCCCUGCACUCUGGGAUAAGCUUGGGAAACUGGGUCUAAUACCGGAUAGGACCAUGGGAUGCAUGUUCUGUGGUGGAAAGCUUUUGCGGUGUGGGAUGGGCCCGCGGCCUAUCAGCUUGUUGGUGGGGUGAUGGCCUACCAAGGCGACGACGGGUAGCCGGCCUGAGAGGGUGUCCGGCCACACUGGGACUGAGAUACGGCCCAGACUCCUACGGGAGGCAGCAGUGGGGAAUAUUGCACAAUGGGCGCAAGCCUGAUGCAGCGACGCCGCGUGGGGGAUGACGGCCUUCGGGUUGUAAACCUCUUUCAGUAUCGGCGAAGCUCCCGGGUUUUCUUGGGGGUGACGGUAGGUACAGAAGAAGCACCGGCCAACUACGUGCCAGCAGCCGCGGUAAUACGUAGGGUGCGAGCGUUGUCCGGAAUUACUGGGCGUAAAGAGCUCGUAGGUGGUUUGUCGCGUUGUUCGUGAAAACUCACAGCUUAACUGUGGGCGUGCGGGCGAUACGGGCAGACUGGAGUACUGUAGGGGAGACUGGAAUUCCUGGUGUAGCGGUGGAAUGCGCAGAUAUCAGGAGGAACACCGGUGGCGAAGGCGGGUCUCUGGGCAGUAACUGACGCUGAGGAGCGAAAGCGUGGGGAGCGAACAGGAUUAGAUACCCUGGUAGUCCACGCCGUAAACGGUGGGUACUAGGUGUGGGUUUCCUUCCUUUAGGGAUCCGUGCCGUAGCUAACGCAUUAAGUACCCCGCCUGGGGAGUACGGCCGCAAGGCUAAAACUCAAAGGAAUUGACGGGGGGCCCGCACA
rnacentral:rRNA from 1 species